rnacentral:lncRNA from 1 species
CUUGCCAAUACAGUAUCAGUUCAGUUCAGUCGCUCAGUCAUGUCUGACUCUUUGCGACCCCAUGAAAUGCAGCAUGCCAGGCCUCCUUGUCCAUCACCAACAUAGGUAUAUCAUAAAGUAGAGUUGUUUAUAUAUUUAUUCUGCAAUAGUUUAUUGAGGUCCAUUGUAGGUUCUGGGGAUAAUAUGAAACAUCUGAAUGGCUUAUUCUAGCCCUGUGAGCUGAUAUCCAGAACUAACUUGUUAGCCCCACCCUUGGGGUGGAGAUGAGCCCAAGAACUCUUAGGAGUGAAGCAUUUCCCGCUCUCUUGCUGUUCCUCCUAAAUGUUUCCUCUGUAGCUGCAUAAGCUGGCAGGCAGCCUGAGAUGGAACCCUCCUCAGAAGACCCCCACCUCUACUGGACCACCCGGCUCCUGGGACUCACUAGCCUGCUCCUCAAGUGGAGAUUAGUCACCACUGCCUCUCAGGUCAGUUUGGAGACAGCCCGAGAC